rnacentral:rRNA from 1 species
GAUGAACGUUAGCGGGAGGCCUAACACAUGCAAGCCGAGCGGUAGAGUCUCUUCGGAGACUUGAGAGCGGCGCACGGGUGCGGAACACGUGUGCAACCUGCCUUUAUCUGGGGGAUAGCCUUUCGAAAGGAAGAUUAAUACCCCAUAAUAUACUGGAUGGCAUCAUCUGGUAUUGAAAACUCCGGUGGAUAGAGAUGGUCACGCGCAAGAUUAGAUAGUUGGUGAGGUAACGGCUCACCAAGUCAGCGAUCUUUAGGGGGCCUGAGAGGGUGAUCCCCCACACUGGUACUGAGACACGGACCAGACUACUACGGGAGGCAGCAGUGAGGAAUAGUGGACAAUGGGUGAGAGCCUGAUCCAGCCAUCCCGCGUGAAGGAAGACGGCCCUAUGGGUUGUAAACUUCUUUUGUAUAGGGAUAAACCUAGAUAUGUGUAUCUAGCUGAAGGUACUAUACGAAUAAGCACCGGCUAACUCCGUG